UACGAAGGGGGCUAGCGUUGCUCGGAAUCACUGGGCGUAAAGGGUGCGUAGGCGGGUCUUUAAGUCAGGGGUGAAAUCCUGGAGCUCAACUCCAGAACUGCCUUUGAUACUGGAAAGCUUGAGUUCGGGAGAGGUGAGUGGAACUGCGAGUGUAGAGGUGAAAUUCGUAGAUAUUCGCAAGAACACCAGUGGCGAAGGCGGCUCACUGGCCCGAUACUGACGCUGAGGUGCGAAAGCUAGGGGAGCAAACGGG
rnacentral:rRNA from 1 species